CUGCUUAGGAAGAAUUCAGGGAGGAACUGUGCUGUGGUGUGACCAAUGAAAAGCUGCAGUCCAGUUUUGUCCCUGGAACCUGUCCUGCACUCUUCCUGCAGUUAGGUAACUGGGGGCAUAGUCAUUCCAGUGGAGAGUGGAAGUAACCUCAUGGUGAUUUUUAACCCUAAUUUCUCUCUGACCCUAAAGGAGCUGCUGGCCCUAGAAGGUUGGGAUCAAUCUUGUCAAGUCUAUGUUACACUUACUUUUACAAAAAAAAGUAUAUAUACAUAUUAUCAGCACACAAAAGCAACUCUGAGGUUGCUAGUGACAUUUGAAACAGUCCUGUGUGGUCACCAGAAAAUAAGCCAUUCCUCAUAUCAGUGGGAUAAACUCCUUGUACCUCUU
rnacentral:lncRNA from 1 species